rnacentral:rRNA from 1 species
GACGAACGCUGGCGGCGUGCCUAAUACAUGCAAGUCGAGCGGAAGUUGGAGAGCUAGCUCUUCAACUUUAGCGGCGGACGGGUGAGUAACACGUGGGCAACCUGCCCUGCAGAUCGGGAUAACUCCGGGAAACCGGUGCUAAUACCGAAUAGUUUUCGCCACCUCCUGGUGGCGUACGGAAAGACGGUUUCGGCUGUCACUGCAGGAUGGGCCCGCGGCGCAUUAGCUAGUUGGUGGGGUAACGGCCCACCAAGGCAACGAUGCGUAGCCGACAUGAGAGGGUGAUCGGCCACACUGGGACUGAGACACGGCCCAGACUCCUACGGGAGGCAGCAGUAGGGAAUCUUCCGCAAUGGACGAAAGUCUGACGGAGCAACGCCGCGUGAGUGACGAAGGUUUUCGGAUCGUAAAACUCUGUUGUGAGGGAAGAACAAGUACCAACUAACUACUGGUACCUUGACGGUACCUCACCAGAAAGCCACGGCUAACUACGUGCCAGCCGCCGCUGUAAAAC